ensembl:misc_RNA Metazoa_SRP Metazoan signal recognition particle RNA
GCUGGGUGUGGUGGCACACACCUGUAGUUCCAGCUACUUGGGAGGCUGAGGCAGGAGGAUCGCUGGAGCCCAGGAGUUCAGGGUUCCAGUGAGUUGUGAUCGCACCACUGCACUCCAGCCUGGGCAACAGAGUGAGACCCUGUCACUA